AGAGUUUGAUCCUGGCUCAGGAUGAACGCUGGCGGUAUGCUUAACACAUGCAAGUCGAACGGACUCUUCGGAGUUAGUGGCGGACGGGUGAGUAACGCGUGAGAAUCUGGCUUCAGGUUCGGGACAACAGUUGGAAACGGCUGCUAAUACCGGAUGUGCCUUAUGGUGAAAGAUUUAUCACCUGAAGAUGAGCUCGCGUCUGAUUAGCUAGUAGGUGUGGUAAGAGCGCACCUAGGCGACGAUCAGUAGCUGGUCUGAGAGGAUGAUCAGCCACACUGGGACUGAGACACGGCCCAGACUCCUACGGGAGGCAGCAGUGGGGAAUUUUCCGCAAUGGGCGAAAGCCUGACGGAGCAAUACCGCGUGAGGGAGGAAGGCUCUUGGGUUGUAAACCUCUUUUCUCAGGGAAGAAUGAUGACGGUACCUGAGGAAUAAGCAUCGGCUAACUCCGUGCCAGCAGCCGCGGUAAUACGGAGGAUGCAAGCGUUAUCCGGAAUGAUUGGGCGUAAAGCGUCCGCAGGUGGCAAUGUAAGUCUGCUGUCAAAGCGUCUGGCUCAACCAGAUAAAGGCAGUGGAAACUACAUAGCUAGAGUAAGGUAGGGGUAGAGGGAAUUCCUGGUGUAGCGGUGAAAUGCGUAGAGAUCAGGAAGAACACCGGUGGCGAAAGCGCUCUGCUGGACCUUAACUGACACUGAGGGACGAAAGCUAGGGGAGCGAAUGGGAUUAGAUACCCUAGUAGUCC
rnacentral:rRNA from 1 species